rnacentral:rRNA from 1 species
CGAGCGGCGAACGGGUGAGUAACGCGUGGAUAACCUGCCCAGAGGUGGGGGAUAACCCGGGGAAACUCGGGCUAAUACCGCAUAAUACCGAAAGGUCAAAGGGGGCUCGCAAGAGCUCUCGCCAUAGGAGGGGUCCGCGUCCGAUUAGCUAGUUGGUAGGGUAAUGGCCUACCAAGGCGACGAUCGGUAGCCGGCCUGAGAGGGUGAUCGGCCACACUGGAACUGAGACACGGUCCAG